AACAAUAGCAUACACACACUCUCCUUCACUGAAACACAUAUGAAUAUAUUAAUGUAAGGUUUUCUGGGGUAUUUACACACUUCACUUAAACAAUAUAAAUCUCUUUAAACAUGUCAUCUUCAAAAGCAAAGUCAAUAAUUUUAUUCUAAUCAAGGCAUUGGUCACUACAUUAUUAAAUCUUUACAAUUUGUGACCUAGAGAGUCUUCCCAGUUUUCUACUGUAUACAGGCCUUAAGGUAGAGAGUCCCAUCACUUUUCUAUUGUAUACAGGCCUUAGGUAGAGAGCCCCAUCACUUUUCUACUGUGUACAGGCCUUAAGGUAGAUAGCCCUAUCACUUUUAUACUGUAUACAGGCCUUAAGGGAGAGAGUCCCAUCACUUUAUUACUGUGUACAGGCCUUAAGGUAGAGAGUCCCAUCUCUUUUCUACUGUAUACAGGCCUUAAGGUAGAGAGUCCCAUCUCCUUUUUUACUGCAUACAGGCCUUAACAACCAGCCAGAUUCUUUGUCAACUUACUGGGGAUCAUACAGCCGGUGCUGCCAUAUAGGUGCUCACAGCUACCAUUUAACAAUUCCAGCACUGCCAAACCUGAGCCACAUUCUCAUUUAUAGCUGAGUAGAAAGGUGGAGUAACGUAUCUUGUUCAAGGAUAUAACACAGUGCCAUGAUGGGAUUCGAACCUGUGACCCUUUGGUCACGAGCCCGGCAUCCUACCACUAGAUUACUGUGCAUCUCAAUAUAAUGAUAUAUAUAUGAGGCCUGGAGAUCCAAUCCUUGUGGAGAAGACGAUUUUGUGAAAAAGGAAAGUACAAUGAGUAUUAAAUGAAUUUCUUUUGUAUGUAAUGCUAUGCUACUGUAAAUGGGCAAGCAUCUCCAAAUCAGAAAACGAUGCUGAACAAAUUGGAACUCUUCUUGGUUGGAGAUUAUAUACAGAGCCCUGGGAAUCUCUACCUUAAGUACUGUACUAACUACACUUUAUAAGUGCAUGUUCUUCAUGAAAGUUGGUUGUACAUUUUUGUAUAGGGUUUAUGCCUGUCCACUGCUAAGGUCAUUUCAGGACAUUCUUCAUCAAAUCAUGUUGAUCAGUACUGUAUAAACUAUUAAUUUUAAUAACUAGGUUUCUUUUUUAUAUUUUAUGUACAAAUGGAAUGUUUUGGUACAAUUAAAUAAUCUCACUUUGUGUCAUUUUCUGACCAAGACAAUAAGGUUUUGUACAGAUUGAUAUUGUCAACACUGUUUACUUAUUAAUCCACCUUAGUUUAUGGUAUCAAAACCUCAAAUAUACCAAAAAUUUGGUAAAAUGUACUUUUAAACAUUCAUCAAAAAUGUAAGGCACAUUUGCUGAAAAUCUUAGAUGUUUGUUCUAUCUCUGGAUUAAUCUCACAUCUUUAAGCAAUACAUUUGUGCAUGUUAAGCUAUUGUAAAACGCUUCCACAAGAAUAGGUUCACAAAUAAAAUAAAAAA